GACGAACGCUGGCGGCGUGCUUAACACAUGCAAGUCGAACGGAAAGGCCCUGCUUUUGUGGGGUGCUCGAGUGGCGAACGGGUGAGUAACACGUGAGUAACCUGCCCUUGACUUUGGGAUAACUUCAGGAAACUGGGGCUAAUACCGGAUAGGAGCUCCUGCUGCAUGGUGGGGGUUGGAAAGUUUCGGCGGUUGGGGAUGGACUCGCGGCUUAUCAGCUUGUUGGUGGGGUAGUGGCUUACCAAGGCUUUGACGGGUAGCCGGCCUGAGAGGGUGACCGGCCACAUUGGGACGGGGAUAAGGCCCAGACUCCUACGGGGGGCAGCAGGGGGGAAUAUUGCAAAAUGGGCGGAAGCCUGAUGCAGCAACGCCGCGUGCGGGAUGACGGCCUUCGGGUUGUAAACCGCUUUCGCCUGUGACGAAGCGUGAGGGACGGUAAUGGGUAAAGAAGCACCGGCUAACUACGU
rnacentral:rRNA from 1 species